AACAAACGCUGGCGGCGUGCCUAAUACAUGCAAGUCGAACGGGGAAAGCUUUCGGGUGAGUACUAGUGGCGCACGGGUGAGUAACGCGUGGAUAAUCUGCCUUGAAGAGGGGGAUAACCAGUCGAAAGAUUGGCUAAUACCGCAUAAGACCACAGGAACUGAGGUUCUAGAGGUCAAAGGUUUUUCGCUUCAAGAUGAGUCCGCGUAAGAUUAGCUAGUUGGUGAGGUAACGGCUCACCAAGGCGACGAUCUUUAACUGGUCUGAGAGGAUGAUCAGUCACACUGGAACUGAGACACGGUCCAGACUCCUACGGGAGGCAGCAGUAGGGAAUAUUGCACAAUGGAGGAAACUCUGAUGCAGCGACGCCGCGUGAGUGAUGAAGGCCUUCGGGUCGUAAAGCUCUGUCGCAGGGGAAUAACACAAUGAAGGUACCCUGUAAGAAAGGGUCGGCUAACUUCGUGCCAGCCGCCGCGGUAAAAC
rnacentral:rRNA from 1 species